rnacentral:rRNA from 1 species
UACGAAGGGGGCUAGCGUUGCUCGGAAUCACUGGGCGUAAAGGGUGCGUAGGCGGGUCUUUAAGUCAGGGGUGAAAUCCUGGAGCUCAACUCCAGAACUGCCUUUGAUACUGAGGAUCUUGAGUAUGGGAGAGGUGAGUGGAACUGCGAGUGUAGAGGUGAAAUUCGUAGAUAUUCGCAAGAACACCAGUGGCGAAGGCGGCUCACUGGUCCGGUACUGACGCUGAGGUGCGAAAGCGUGGGGAGCAAACAGG